rnacentral:rRNA from 1 species
AGUUCAGAUUGCAGGCUGCAACUCGCCUGCAUGAAGUUGGAAUUGCUAGUAAUCGCGAAUCAGAAUGUCGCGGUGAAUACGUUCCCGGGCCUUGUACACACCGCCCGUCACACCAUGAGAGUCGAUAACACCCGAAGCCUGUGAGCUAACCGCAAGGGGGCAGCAGUCGAAGGUGGGGUUGAUGAUUGGGGUGAAGUCGUAACAAGGUAUC